rnacentral:rRNA from 1 species
ACAAUGGAGAGUUUGAUCCUGGCUCAGGAUGAACGCUAGCGGCAGGCUUAAUACAUGCAAGUCGUGGGGCAGCGCAGUGUAGCAAUACAUGGGCGGCGACCGGCAAACGGGUGCGGAACACGUACGCAACCUUCCUUUAAGUGGUGAAUAGCUUUCGGAAACGAAAAUUAAUACACCGUAAUAUUAUGAAGUGGCAUCAUUUUAUAAUUAUAGCUCCGGCGCUUAAAGAUGGGCGUGCGUCUGAUUAGGUAGUUGGCGGGGUAACGGCCCACCAAGCCUGCGAUCAGUAACUGGUGUGAGAGCACGACCAGUCACACGGGCACUGAGACACGGGCCC